AUCACUUCUCAGCCUUUUGUCUAAGAUCAAGUGUAGUAUCUGUGCUAUUAAGCUUAAUAUCUGAUACGUCCUCUAUCUGAGGACAAUAUAUUAAAUGAAUUUUUGGAGCCAGGAGUUGGAACAGGUGCUUGCUUCCUCCACUCCACGCAUUGAGCUGGUAUUGCAUUACUUCCAGGAACGGUGCAUCCCCU